CCCACUCUCACUCAUGUGUCCUUGGGCCUU
rnacentral:piRNA from 1 species